rnacentral:miRNA from 1 species
CUCAGCAGGCUCCAGCUUGGUGGCACUGGGGGAAGGCUCCAGACCCCAGCCUAUCAUCCCUGCAUGGAGCCCACAUCUCC